UUCCGCAAUUAGCUAUUGAGCUGCGAGCUCGCGGCUACGCGUGUUUACGAGGCUACCGUAGUCCAGAGUGUGCGCUUAUAAAACCAGAGCAUUGAAAGAGACGUCGUCGAUGAUAGGGGGCUGCAUGAGGGGGAGUGGAGCUUGGCCUCACCAGGGAGGGCUUCCCCGAGGAAGGGACAAUAUCCUGAGUUCCGAAGGAGACAACAUGGGUGCUGGGUAGUGAACCCGUCCAGGAAGCGGUACCAGCUUGGUGGCAGGCGGGAACCAGGAGGGGAGGGAGGGAGCGUCGGCUGCGGUGGAGACUGAGGGCCGGCUUACAGGACGUAGCGGACCAGGGCGGAUUCUGGCCUUUAUCCCGAGAACAAUGGAAAACUUCGGCUUUCAAAUUUAAAGCAAGGGUGGCUAUCAGAUAUCCUGUGGCUAUCGGAACUGAAAGGAAGCUUAGAGAUUUUUGUUCAUCCUUCUCUUUCUGCGGCUGAAGAAUGUCAGGUCCAGAGAGGCUAAGUGACAUACUAGCCAUCACACAGCUUAUUUCGUAAUGGGAACCAGUACUAGAACCAGGUCUUCUGGUUCCUAGUCCAUGCCUCUUUCUCCACUGUAUCUCAAAAUGCUUUUGAGUUCCCUAUAAAAUACAGGUCCUAAUGAUACAAUAAUGUUGGCUAUUCAUGCCUGUAAUUGUAUAGAAACUGAUUUAAGCUUCCCAAGUGUCAGACACUAUUCAAACUGCUUCACAUGUAGUCCCUUGCUUAGUCCUCACCACAACCCUAGCAAGGAGGUAUUAUUGUCCUCAUUUUGCAAGGAUAAUCGAGAUGCAGAAAUUAGGCAACAUCCCCAGGAUGACAGUACACAGAAGCAUCUGGGUUUUCUGGCUCCAGAGCUGGGGUACCACACUGACUCCUCCAAGUGCAGUGAUGUUUUAGGACUGAGACAAGCCAUUUCCAAUUGUGAGCUCUGUGAAGACAACAGGACCCAAGACAGGGUGACAGAGUGAAGAUGUUCUCAUACAGAAGUGACAGCAUGAGAAUAAAAAUGGUGAAUUUGCUCUACAUGAAAUACACGGAGAAGAACCGUAAUGGGGGCAAAGUUGGAAACGGAAGUCAUGGGGAGAGAACUGGGGCUCUGAAUGCCAGGCAAGAGGGCCCAUACUUAACCUGUGAGGCAAAAGGAAACCACGAAAGGUUUCUGGCAAGAGGAAAGACAAUGAGACCUACGCUUUGGGCCCUGCCAGGCAGCUCAAGGACGGAGCCAGCUGGAAGGACGGAAGCGGAAAGAAUCCACUCCUCGGACCUGCCGGGCACUCUCAACAGUCCACAGUCCCCCGUAAUCCUCACUGUGAUCCUACCAAUUAGACACUGUUAUGCUCAUUCUGUAGAGGGACAGCUGAGGUUCAAAAAUUGCAAAAUGCCCAAGAGGCACGUGGAAGAACCAAGAUGGCCCAAUCUGAACCAAGAUGCCGCUUCAAACCCUGCAUUGUUUUUGCUACCCUUUCCACGGAGUGGACAAGGGGAAUCUGAUGGCCAGCUGUGAGAUGAAAAGGAGGGUCUAAACUCCAGCUGGGAAUGGCAGACACAGGAUAUGGGUUUGAAAGACAGGCAGGUAACGACAGUAUCUGACCCCCUGUGUUUGGAGACUAUGGAGAGAGACGUCACAGGGGACAAGUUUGAGCGGGAGUGGCUCAAAGAAUAGUACGACAUUAAAUAAAAAACAGGAGAGACGAGAGGAAGACCUUUCAGAAGGACACUGCAUUAACGACAGAACUUCCCAAGAGCCACGGCAUAUUGCUAAUUUGCGUAUUAUUAAAGCAUUACUAACGUG